rnacentral:lncRNA from 1 species
CCACCCUCAGGCCAGUGAUGGCUGACUUGAGGCCUCAGCUUGACUGCAUUCAGGGACACUGCAAUAGCUGGUAGAGCAUUAUUUAUUCUCAGCCCUUCAGACGACACGCAGCCCAUUCCUUUUCUGCUAAAAGGAAAACCCAGGUGGUUUUGCUUUUGAUUUUAAUGCUUGGGCUGCCCCAGGUGUAUAUGUGAGAGUAUUUCUCGGAAGACACUGGCCUGUGAGUGGGUGAACUGAGUGGAGAAGCUCCACCCUCAAUGCAGGCAGGCACCAUUUAAUCAGCUGGGGGCCUGGAGAGAAAAGGCAGAGGAAGGGCAAAUUAUUUUUCUCUUUCUUUUGGAGCCAGGAUGUUUUUCUCCUUCCAUUGGAUGUCAGAAAGCUAGGUUCUCCAGCUUUUGGACUCUGGGAUUUGCACCAGAGCCUGCCCCCGGCAACCCCGACUCAGGCUUUUGGCCUUGAAAUGAGUUAUGCCAUCAGCUUAUUUAUUUGUAAGGCCUUCGGACUUGAACUGUGCCACAUCCUCAGCUUUCCAGAUUCUCCAGUUCGGACGACCCUUUGUGGAACUUCUCAGCCUCCAUGAUCAUAUAAGUCGACAUUUUCACUGGACCGAUUGGACUGAAAAGGCAAGAUUGAAUGAGGCAGUUCUUGUUAGCAGCGUGAGAACAGACUAGUACGUGAUGGGACAGUCCCUGCUGUGCAUAUUCUCGGCUCCUUUGAAGUGAUCUAGUCAUGGACUUCAGUAUCCAGUGGAACGGAAGGACUGGAAUGGUCUUCAGCAGGUAACUAAUUCUUCAGCUCGAUCAAGUUGUGCAGUCUUGGCUUCAGAGACUGUUGCUGUUUUAUCUCUCUCCCAUGUCCGAGAAAACCAGUAUGCUGGCAUGGUGUUACAGCACUGUAAUUAAAUCACAUGACUUUCAUAGGGACAUGGGCAGAGAAAUUCUAGGCAGAAAAGGGCAGGUCCCUGACAGAACCCCACCUUCAAGCUGAAAAGCCUAAAACCCACAGCCCAAAGGGAGAACUUAUAUCCCUGUUUUCCUGCUCGAAUGUAGCCUUUUCCUAAACCACCCGUGGCGCACCCCACCCCGUAUCCUGUGCCUGUAAAUACCCCAGACUCAACCAGCAGAGAGGACAAGCAGCUGGACAUUGGGGACUACGGCUAGAUGUCGGAGAGAAGUGGCUUGACAUCAGAGGGACAGCUAGAUGGCGUAACUUCAGAUAAGAAUCCAGCUGGAGAUGGACUUUAGAAGAUUACCUACCCACCUCAUCCCCAUUUCUGCUCCCCUUCCCAUUGAGAGCCAUUUUCACUGGCAAUAAAAUCCUCUGCAUAUACCAUCCUUCAAAUUUAUUUGUGUGACCUCAUUUUUCCUGGAUGCCGGACAAGAGCUCAGGAGCCACAAAUGCAGAUACAAAAGGCUGUCACACUGGACCUUUGCCCUCGCUGACAGAGAGCAUCUGCCUCAUGCCAAAAGACAGAGGGCCCACAGAGCUGUUAACACUUAAGCUGUCCAUGGACAGAAGAUCUUAAAAAGCACUGUAACACACACUCUGGGACUUCAGGAGUCACAGUCACCCCCCGCCUGGAUAUUGCCUUGGGGCCUGCAUGAAGUUCACUCCUGCAGAUGCCCAAAAAAUGCUCACUCCAGCUCCUGUACCCCCUUACCUGUGAGCUCCCUCCCAUGAGGGUGGAACACAGUGGGUCUGAGUGAGUGGAGUUUGAUCCUGCUAGCAGCAAAACAGCCAGCUCAUUCCAGUGCUCAUGCAUUCUAGUUUCUGCCUCAUUCUCUCGUGUGCUCCCGCCUGUGAGGAGUUGACAGUGGCAGGCUGAGUAAACAAGGCACCCCUGUCACAAGUCCUAUGAACGGGUCAGGAAAAUAUCCUGCUUCAGUUUUUCUGAAAUUUUUGAGGAUGGAAUGCCAUUUGUUGCUGUAUUUUUUUCUCCCCCUAUGGAGUUAGUGUCUGUGUCAUUAGUUAAUAUAAAUUAAUUUAUCACAGAAAAAAUAUUUUGUUGACAAAGGUAUGGUCUGGACAAAUUAUUUAAACAAUUCAAGUCUCAGUUUCCUCCUAUGCCGUGUGGGAAAUAUUUUAUUUCCUUUUCAGUGUUGUUGUACAGAAGACAAUAUAUGUAAACCAACCAAAUUCAAUGCCCUGAAUCUAAAUAUGUAGUGUUAUUAUUUUAGUAAAUAAAUGUGUUGUUAAUAAGGCACUACUACAGUAAAUGAAUUGAAUAUCUAUUUUAAUAAAAAUUGUA